CACUCCACCCGCGGGCCGUCGCCCUGCUCGCAGCGCAUCUACGCCCCCACCGCCGCCCGGCAUGACUGCGGGCCCAGGCCGCCGUAUGCCGCUGGCCCGACGCCUCCAACUGGCGGCCGGCCAAUGUGGCAGGCGCGCGGCACUACGGCAGGGGGCAACGCACGCUGACCUCGUCACACCGAGUCCCCAUCUCCUAGACGGCCAACGGCCACUGCAGCAGCCAGACAACCAGCAGGCGCGCGGCAGCCUACAGGGGUAGGGGCACUCCGCACCCCUAAUUCGGUCCAAUUGCAAAUCAGCAGCACAUCAACGGCCUGGAAGUUUACCCAUGAAGAACAGAAACAUUGCACUGCUUUUUUGGAAUCAUGAAGCGAAAGCAAAGAAGAUUGCUUCUUCUUCCCCAUCAAUUCCGGUUCCUGUCAUAGAUGAUGGCAAUGGUACUGGUUCAACUCCAACUCCAAUUGUGUGUGAUGGUUCAACUCCAGUUGUAGAUGAUGGCAAUACUAUUAGAUUAUACUGGAUUUUGCUU